rnacentral:rRNA from 1 species
CGUUCCCAUUCCGAACACGGAAGUUAAGCUCUCCAGCGCCGAUGGUACUGCACGGGUGACUGUGUGGGAGAGUAGGUCGCCGCCGAAU